rnacentral:tRNA from 1 species
GGUGGCUCAGUGGUAGAGUGCUUGCCUUGCAUGCAUGAGGCCCUGGGUCUGAUUCCCCAGCACCA